ACUGAGACACGGUCCAGAAUCCUACGGGAGGCAGCAGUGGGGAAUAUUGGACAAUGGGCGAAAGCCUGAUCCAGCCAUGCCGCGUGUGUGAAGAAGGUCUUCGGAUUGUAAAGCACUUUAAGUUGGGAGGAAGGGCAUUAACCUAAUACGUUAGUGUCUUGACGUUACCGACAGAAUAAGCACCGGCUAACUCUGUGCCAGCAGCCGCGGUAAUACAGAGGGUGCAAGCGUUAAUCGGAAUUACUGGGCGUAAAGCGCGCGUAGGUGGUUUGUUAAGUUGAAUGUGAAAUCCCCGGGCUCAACCUGGGAACUGCAUCCAAAACUGGCAAGCUAGAGUAUGGUAGAGGGUAGUGGAAUUUCCUGUGUAGCGGUGAAAUGCGUAGAUAUAGGGAAGAACACCAGUGGCGAAGGCGACUACCUGGACUGAUACUGACACUGAGGUGCGAAAGCGUGGGGAGCAAACAAGGUUAGAUACCCUGGUAGUCCACGCCGUAAACGAUGUCAAAGGGGCCGUUGGGAGUCUUGAACUCUUAGUGGCGCAGCUAACGCAUAAAGUGAAC
rnacentral:rRNA from 1 species